rnacentral:rRNA from 1 species
GACGUAGGGCGCGAGCGUUGUCCGGAUUUAUUGGGCGUAAAGAGCUCGUAGGCGGCUUGUCGCGUCGACUGUGAAAACCCGCGGCUCAACUGCGGGCCUGCAGUCGAUACGGGCAGGCUAGAGUUCGGUAGGGGAGACUGGAAUUCCUGGUGUAGCGGUGAAAUGCGCAGAUAUCAGGAGGAACACCGGUGGCGAAGGCGGGUCUUUGGGCCGAUACUGACGCUGAGGAGCGAAAGCGUGGGGAGCGAACAGG